rnacentral:rRNA from 1 species
GACAGAGGAUGCAAGCGUUGUUCGGAAUUAUUGGGCGUAAAGAGCUCGUAGGCGGUUUGUUGCGUCUAUCGUGAAAACCUGCAGCUUAACUGUGGGCUUGCGGUGGAUACGGGCAGACUUGAGUUCGGUAGGGGAGACUGGAAUUCCCGGUGUAGCGGUGAAAUGCGCAGAUAUCAGGAAGAACACCAACGGCGAAAGCACUCUGCUGGGCCGACACUGACACUGAGAGACGAAAGCUAGGGGAGCGAAUGGG